GGGGGAAUAACGCCCGGAGAAGGGGUGACAUGAUUUUCUACUUGCUACUUAACGCAUAAAUGUGUUUUGGUUUGAUUAGUUUGCUUCCGUCUGCAUAAGGAGACUCUGUUAAAAUACAUUUGUCAUCUCACAGCAGACAUAAGAACGUUCGUUCGCCGGUUCCAUUUUACAUUCACAAACAAAUCAUACUUUGUGUCAUAUCCUGAAGGGGUGAAGGGAUGAGGGGAUGGCCGGUGUCAAGAGGUCAAUUUAAUGUUUAACUUAGGACUGAGUGUCUUAUCCCUACUUAUCUUACUUCCUCUGCAAUUCUGGAACUUCCAGAGUUGGAGUAAAUCCAUGAACACCACCUUUUUGGUGUAGACGGUGUGAAUUAGCCGGUGAAGUAUAAUGCUGGUGGUCAUAUCCGAGCUGUUGGGGGGUGGGGGGAAGGCUGCGUUGGGCUCCUGGGGUCCAAGGGUCGGAGGGACCAGGAGCUGAUGCCUAGUGGGAGUAGCACCCUCUGCUCACCUGAACAGCGAAAAGAGGUGUUCCUGUGAAAUACUUAAGCGCUAGAUCGCCACUCCAAUGGCACUUCCUUGUUUUAUGUUCCCAAAUCUCAUUUCCUUUCCCUGUUGUGUGGACUGGCCUGCCUCCGGGGGUUUGAAAUGCUCUCUGGAGAAGUAACUGCAGUCCUAUUUUAGUUCUGACUGACUUCUAAUCAAUCAGACCUUUGAGGCCGACUUGGUGCCGUCUCCUGAGAUGAGGGAGCCGUCGGAAUGGGCAGUGCAGGACUGCUGUCCCCACUGUGGCCCUGGGAAAUUGUGACACCACAAAUGCCACGUGCUGCGUUUACCGCUUCUGGUAGAAUGACUCCGGCUCUGAGGGGAGAAGAAUGAAAAUGUCCGAAUGUGGCAUUAAAUCGCUCAAUCCACCCACUUCUUCAGUCCGAAGCGUGUCGUCCAGCGUUCAUGUCAUAAACCCGAUCCAGUCUCUA